rnacentral:rRNA from 1 species
GAAGAUGCCGCCUACCCGCAGCAGGACGGAAAGACCCUAUGCACCUUUACUGUAAGCUGUUAUUGUCGCUUGAUUUUUAAUACGUAGAAUAGGUGGGAGACUUCGAAGCCCGGUUCCAGGAUCGGGCUGAGUCACAACGUGAAAUACCACUUUUUAAUUGUUAGGCGUCUAACCUCAUACCAUUAUCUGGUUGUGGGACAGUGAUAGCAGGUCAGUUUUUCUGGGGCGGAAUCCUCCCAAAAAGUAACGGAGGAUUACGAAGGUUCCCUCGGCCCGGUCGGUAAUCGGGCUAUAGAGCGCAUGAGUAUAAGGGAGCUUUACUGUGAGACCAACAAGUCGAGCAGUUGCGAAAGCAGGUUCAAGUGAUCCGGUGGUUGAAUGUGGAAUCGCCAUCGCUCAUAGGACAAAAG